UUCCGGUUGAUCCCGCCGGACCUGACUGCUAUCGGAUUGAUACUAAGCCAUGCGAGUCAUUGUAGCAAUACAAGGCAGACGGCUCAGUAACGCGUAGUCAACCUACCCUAUGGACGGGAAUAACCUCGGGAAACUGAGUAUAAUGCCCGAUAGAACACUAUACCUGGAAUGGUUUGUGUUCCAAAUGAUUUAUUGCCAUAGGAUGGGACUGCGGCCUAUCAGUUUGUUGGUGAGGUAAUGGCCCACCAAGACUAUUACAGGUACGGGCUCUGAGAGGAGUGGCCCGGAGAUGGGUACUGAGACACGGACCCAGGCCCUAUGGGGCGCAGCAGGCGAGAAAACUUUGCAAUGUGCGAAAGCACGACAAGGUUAAUCCGAGUGGUUUCUGCUAAAGGAACCUUUUGACAGUCCUAGAAACACUGUUGAAUAAGGGGUGGGCAAGUUCUGGUGUCAGCCGCCGCGGUAAAACCAGCACCUCAAGUGGUCAGGAUGAUUAUUGGGCCUAAAGCAUCCGUAGCCGGCUCUGUAAGUUUUCGGUUAAAUCUGUACGCUCAACGUACAGGCUGCUGGGAAUACUGCAGAGCUAGGGAGUGGGAGAGGUAGACGGUACUCGGUAGGAAGUGGUAAAAUGCUUUGAUCUAUCGAUGACCACCUGUGGCGAAGGCGGUCUACCAGAACACGUCCGACGGUGAGGGAUGAAAGCUGGGGGAGCAAACCGGAUUAGAUACCCGGGUAGUCCCAGCUGUAAACUAUGCAAACUCAAUGAUGCAUUGACUUAUGGUCAAUGCAGUGUUGCAGGGAAGCCGUUAAGUUUGCCGCCUGGGAAGUACGUACGCAAGUAUGAAACUUAAAGGAAUUGGCGGGGGAGCACCACAAGGGGUGAAGCCUGCGGUUCAAUUGGAGUCAACGCCGGG
rnacentral:rRNA from 1 species